GAUGAACGCUGGCGGCGUGCCUAAUACAUGCAAGUCGAGCGAACAGACGAGGAGCUUGCUCCUCUGACGUUAGCGGCGGACGGGUGAGUAACACGUGGAUAACCUACCUAUAAGACUGGGAUAACUUCGGGAAACCGGAGCUAAUACCGGAUAAUAUAUUGAACCGCAUGGUUCAAUAGUGAAAGACGGUUUUGCUGUCACUUAUAGAUGGAUCCGCGCCGCAUUAGCUAGUUGGUAAGGUAACGGCUUACCAAGGCAACGAUGCGUAGCCGACCUGAGAGGGUGAUGGGCCACACUGGAACUGAGACACGGUCCAGACUCCUACGGGAGGCAGCAGUAGGGAAUCUACCGCAAUGGGCGAAAGCCUGACGGAGCAACGCCGCGUGAGUGAUGAAGGUCUUCGGAUCGUAAAACUCUGUUAUUAGGGAAGAACAAAUGUGUAAGUAACUAUGCACGUCUUGACGGUACCUAAUCAGAAAGCCACGGCUAACUACGUG
rnacentral:rRNA from 1 species